CCUACGGGAGGCAGCAGUGGGGAAUAUUGCACAAUGGGGGAAAGCCUGAAGCAGCAACGCCGCGUGAGGGAUGACGGCCCUCGGGUUUUAAAGCUCUGUCUGCAGGGGCGAUAAUGACGGUACCUGAGGGGGAAGCCACGGCUAACUACGUGACAGCAGCCGCGGGCAUACGUAGGGGGCGCGCGGUGACCCGAUUUACUGGGCGUAAAGGGAGCGUAGGCGGGAUUUUAAGUGAGAUGUGAAAUACUCGGGGUCAACGUGCGUGGUGCAUUUCAAACCGGAAGUCUAGAGUGCACGAGAGGAGAAUGGAAUGCCUGGUGUAGCGGUGAAAUGCGUAGAGAUUAGGCAGAACACC
rnacentral:rRNA from 1 species